AUGUCAUUUUCAUUAAAAAAAAAAAACAACUCUUGCCCGCAAGGAUUCUUUAACUCUUUUUGCUUGUGUUCUUUUGAGGCGUUGAAACUGAGAAAGAAAGAGGUGAAGGAGCUGGGAAAUCAUGAGUCAGGUGUCGGUUCCUGUCCUUAUUCUUUGCAUUCUGUUCAUUUGGGGAUACAUUUGAAAUGGAGAAGUGGAAUAUCAGUUGGAGCCCAAGACCUAAAACAAACAAAACCCCUCUCGACUUCAGAUAAUUUCCUAUUUCUUGAUGAAUGAUGAACACUUCUUUUUCUUCAUCUAUAAAUGAGGAUACGUUUUUGAACAGGUUUGCUCUUUGGUAUUCUUUUUAAAAUAAUCUUGUAUAUCUUAAAAUGCUGACUGUCUUCUUUCUGUUUUCUUCUCUCCAGAUGGACUAAUUCAGGCAAUUUUCAUGUCAGUUUACCAUCAUCUCUAGUAAUUGUUCAUUUGAUUCAAACGCUUCCAGAUAAAGACUGUUUUUUGAAUGUGGAAUUUGCUUGAGAACAGAGGUCAGCUUUUGUUUUUACUUACACCACACUUUUCAGGUACUCUCCAUUUGAAAAACAAAUUUACCUGAAUUAGAUUGAUUGCACAACUGCUCUACGCUUCAGAUACUAUUUUAAAAAUCUAGGACUGGCAAAACCAAUGACAAUCAGUUACAGGAGUAGAAUGUUUAGUGGUAAUGUUGGAAAAUAACUGCAUGCUCUAGGAGUGUUAGCAUACUUUAAACUUGAUGCGAG
rnacentral:lncRNA from 1 species